rnacentral:rRNA from 1 species
GUCCACACCGUAAACGAUGGAUACUAGAUGUCGGGGGUCUUGUCCCCUCGGUAUCGUAGCUAACGUGUUAAGUAUCCCGCCUGGGAAGUACGGCCGCAAGGUUAAAACUCAAAGAAAUUGACGGGGGCCCGCACAAGCGGUGGAGUAUGUGGUUUAAUUCGAAGCAACGCGCAAAACCUUACCUAGGCUUGACAUCCCACGCUACCCUAUGAAAGUAGGGGUUCCCUUCGGGGACGUGGAGACAGGUGUUGCAUGGCUGUCGU